UACAGAGGGUGCAAACGUUGUUCGGAAUUACUGGGCGUAAAGCGCGUGUAGGCGGCUGUGCAAGUCGGGUGUGAAAGCCCUGGGCUCAACCUAGGAAGUGCGCUCGAAACUGCAGAGCUUGAGUUCUGGAGAGGAAGGCGGAAUUCUCGGUGUAGAGGUGAAAUUCGUAGAUAUCGAGAGGAACACCGGUGGCGAAGGCGGCCUUCUGGACAGCAACUGACGCUGAGACGCGAAAGCAUGGGGAGCAAACAGG
rnacentral:rRNA from 1 species